AUAGGGAGAUGUGUGCACACACACACCUGCUCCGAGAAAACUAACCGCUGCUUCAGGAGAGAAGCCGGGCAACAGUGAACGUGGUCGGGCAGGAGGCCUGCUUUCCAGACUUAGUACCUUUGAAUUUUUCUACCGUGUGGUUCUCUGUCUUGUCUGCAGUUUUCAAACUUUCUGAAAUUAAACCCAUCAUGUCUAUAAUCAAAUUAAAACCUCACUUAAAUUGUUAGGGAAGAGGCGGCAUGCAUACGACACUGCCUCAUGAAUGAGACAGAGGAGAAAGGUUUAUGUGUAUUGGCCUAUCGUGUGUAACGGAACACAGGAAGAUGAAUCCAAAACAGAGAACACAACUGUGGCUGCUG
rnacentral:lncRNA from 1 species